UGGGGAAUCUUGCACAAUGGGGGAAACCCUGAUGCAGCGACGCCGCGUGAGCGAUGAAGGUUUUCGAAUCGUAAAGCUCUGUCCUAUGGGAAGAUAAUGACGGUACCAUAGGAGCAAGCCCCGGCUAACUACGUGCCAGUAGCCGCGGUAAUACGCAGGGGGCGAGCGUUGGCCGGAAUUACUGGGCGUAAAGGGUUCGCAGGCGGCAUGACAAGUCCGAAGUAAAAGGCGAAAGCUAAACUUUCGUAAGCAUCGGAAACUGUCAAGCUUGAGUGAAGGAGAGGCAAGUGGAAUUCCUAGGGUAGCGGUGAAAUGCGUAGAUAUUAGGAAGAAUACCGGUGGCGAAGGCAACUUGCUGGACUUAAACUGACGCUGAGGAACGAAAGGGUGGGGAGCAAACGGG
rnacentral:rRNA from 1 species